rnacentral:lncRNA from 11 species
AAUUCCCAAAGGAAUCAUACUUCUGUGAACAAUUUGGGAUGUGUUCCAGAGCAGAAGCAGAAUUGGAGGACACUCUGAAGUUUCCAAGGCUUCGCUAUAGUCCAGACAGCUGAAUUAAGUCCAUUUUGGACCAAUACCUUGUCCAAUGCAAAAGAAGGAAACGGCUUGAUGAUUUCUUGCUGAUCAUGUGAUGCCCAAUUCUGAUUUCAUGAUAGC